rnacentral:rRNA from 1 species
GAUGAACGCUGGCGGCGUGCCUAAUACAUGCAAGUCGAGCGAACGGACGCGAAGCUUGCUUCUCUGAUGUUAGCGGCGGACGGGUGAGUAACACGUGGAUACCCUCCCUCUCUGACUGGGAUAACUUCGGGAAACCGUAGCUAAUACCGGAUAAUAUUUUGAACCGCAUGGUUCAAAAGUGAAAGACGGUCUUGCUGUCACUUAUAGAUGGAUGCGCGCUGCAUUAGUUAGUUGGUAAGGUAACGGCUUACCAAGGCCACGAUGCAUAGCCGACCGGCGAGGGGGAUCGGCGACAUGGGAGCGGGGACGCGGACAUUGCUCCUGCGAGAGGCAGCAGUAGGGAAUGUUCGGCAAUGGGCGAGAGCCUGACGGAGCGGCGCCGCGUGAGUGAUGGAGGUCUUGGGUUCGGGAAACCCGGUUAUGGGGGAAGAACAUAUGUGUAAGUAACUGUGGACAUCUUGACGGUACCUAAUCAGAAAGCCACGGCUAACUACGUG